GGGCGACGCUAGACGCCGGGGUGGCCGACUGGGUCAGCGCGGGCUGCGCCUCCUCGCCAUGGGCCCCCUCUCGGCGCGGCUGCUAAUGCAGCGCGGGCGCCCCAAGAGCGACCGGCUGGGGAAGAUCCGGAGUCUGGAGUAAGAGCCGGGCAGGGGCCUGUCAGGAUUGGAGCUGCUCUCCGAGCACCUGGACCCCAAGCUCCUGUGCCGGCUGACGCAGCUGCAGGAGCUUGACCUGUCUAACAACCAGCUGGAGACGCUGCCGGACAACCUGGGCCUGUCCCACCUGCGUGUCCUCCGCUGCGCCAACAACCAGCUGGGGGAUGUUACUGCUUUGUGCCAGUUCCCCAAGCUCGAGGAACUCAGCCUGGAGGGCAACCCCUUCCUGACGGUCAGUGACAACCUGAAAGUCUCCUUUCUCCUGCCCACGCUCCGUAAGGUCAAUGGCAAGGAUGCGUCCUCAACGUACUCUCAGGUGGAGAACCUGAAUCGGGAGCUGACCAACAGGGUCACAGCUCACUGGGAGAAGUUCAUGGCCACACUGGGCCCUGAAGAGGAAGCUGAGAAGGCCCAGGCGGACUUUGUGAAGUCGGCUGUCAGGGAUGUCCGCUACGGGCCCGAGUCCCUCAGCGAGUUCACCCAGUGGCGGGUGCGGAUGAUCUCUGAGGAGCUGGUGGCCUCCAGUAGGACCCAGGUGCAAAAGGCUAACAGCCCAGAGAAGCCCCCAGAAGCUGGAGCUGCCCACAAGCCCAGGGUGAGUGCAGCUCCCAGGGCUCUGAGGCCAGCCCAGUCCCUCCUGCCUGGAGAAGCUGCAGGAGACCAAGGCGUCCUGGGCAUGUGCCCAGGAGGCACCCCAGGUCCCGGCUCACUCCCUAGGUGACCCCGGGCCAGCCUGGGCCUCCUGCACCCACAGUGAGGUGGGGUCCAGCCUGUGAUGGGGAGGAAGGAAGCCCCAGGCAGACAGGCCCAUGGUCACAAGGCCCCCUCCACAGGCCAGACUGGCAGCCUUGAAACGGCCAGACGACGUCCCACUCAGCCUCUCUCCCAGCAAGCGGGCGUGUGCCUCCCCGUCGGCCCAGGUGGAGGGCGGCCCUGUGGCAGGCUCCGAUGGCAGCCAGGUGAGCUGAGGUGGCAAGGAGCAGGUGGCAGAUGAGCCGGGGCUGGGCAGCCGUGACCCUCCUCUCCCCCUACAGCCUGCCGUGAAGCUGGAGCCCCUGCACUUCUUGCAGUGCCACAGCAAGAACAACAGCCCCCAGGACCUCGAGACCCAGCUGUGGGCCUGUGCCUUCGAGCCAGCCUGGGAGGAGGGUACAUGGUGGCGGGCGGGCGGGGCAAGGGCCGCUGGAAAUGGGGCCGCCUGGAUGGGUGGGGGAUCAGGAGACAGAGCUUAAAAGGCGCCAUCAAGGCUGGGAGGAGGAGGCUGCAGGGAGGACCUGGAUGGGAAAUGUCUCUGUUCAUCUGACCUCUCAAAACCGGGUACUCAGGGGCCACAUCCCAGACUGUGGCCACGUGCGGCGGGGAGGCUGUGUGCGUAAUUGACUGCCAGACGGGCAUCGUGCUCCACAAGUACAAGGCACCUGGCGAGGUGAGUGCAGGGCCCUGUCCCUGCUGGGCAGGGGUGCCAGACUGACUCCUGAAUAGCAGCAUGGGGAUGGAUGCAGGCUCGGCCCCCUGCCCCGCGGCCUUUCUCUUUCAUGCUGGGGCUCCCUCCCCCAGGCCCGGGCUACCCGCAUGUUCACACCAAUACCUCUGCCCCAGUGACUGUUUCCUCUAACCCCCGCCCAGGAGUUCUUUUCUGUGGCCUGGACCGCUCUGAUGGUGGUCACACAGGCCGGCCACAAGAAGCGCUGGAGUGUGCUGGCGGCCGCAGGCCUGCGGGGCCUGGUCCGGCUGCUGCAUGUACGUGCUGGCUUCUGCUGCGGGGUCAUCCGGGCCCAUAAGAAGGCCAUCGCCACCCUGUGCUUCAGCCCCGCCCACGAGACCCACCUCUUCACGGCCUCCUAUGACAAGCGGAUCAUCCUCUGGGACAUUGGGGUGCCCAACCAGGACUACGAAUUCCAGGCCAGCCAGCUGCUCACACUGGACACCACCUCCAUACCCCUGCGCCUCUGCCCUGUUGCCUCCUGCCCGGACGCCCGCCUGCUGGCCGGCUGCGAGGGCGGCUGCUGCUGCUGGGACGUGCGGCUGGACCAGCCCCAAAAGAGGAGGUGAGGCUGGGCAGGGGGCACCUUGGAAGCCAGGCCUCUGCACAGGGUGGCUGUUGGCCCAGAUGGGCUCACAGCAGCCUGGGCACACCCGGGUAACCAUAAGGGUUGUUUCUAGGGGCCUCUUCGCAGAGCUGGUUUGUCCCACCUUCCUGCCAGGCUCUGGAGGAAAGGACUCUAACCCUGCCCUCACUCUGGGUUCAGCUGUGGGACUGGGCCAUGAUGACCUCCCUUCACCUGGGGCUUCCGCACCAUGCUGUGCCCACGUGAUCCAGCCCACUCCUGCCGCUCAGCAGCAGUGUGAUGUCCUCUGUGCUAGCGUAAUGUCCUCAUCUGUAAAGAGGGGCCGAUGGCUAGCAGAGGGCAGGUGAGGUGGUGUCUGGGCAGGCAGGCUUUGGAAGUGCCAGGUUGAGGCUUUGUGGCUCAUCCGUCCCACCUGGAAGGCCUCUGAGACAGGGCUUGGCAAGGGGUCCCUGUCCUCUUGGGGCCACCAGCCUACUGAGGAAGACAGAUGCUCAGCAAAGGUAGCCAAUCAAAAUCCCACACUGUGAUGCCAGCUACGAAGGACAGGGAAAAAGAGUAACGGGCAGAGGGACACUAGCGUGGGGGCCUCAGGGGACUCUGCUGAGGUGACCAGCGGCAGAUGGAUAUUCUGGGGCUCAUGCUUUCCUCCCUGCAGCCCGGCGAGGGAGUCGGCGGGCGGAGGGAGUCGGCGGGCGGAGGGAGUCGGCGGGCGGAGGGAGUCGAGUCGGCGGGCGGAGGGUGGGAAGGUGCUUGCAUGGAGGAAAUGGUAUGUGCAAAGGUCAGUGGCAGGGGAGCUGGCUGGCCUGCUCGGCCAUGUGGCCACAGCUGGGUGGACCCAGCCCAGAACGAGGUGGCAAGGGUGCCUGGGCGGGGCAUGCCGGGCUUUGUCAGCUACAGUAAGCUUUGCAUUUCUCUUUAUUUACUUUUUAAUUGAGAUGGAGUCUCCCUCUUGUCACCCAGGCUGGAGUACAGUGCCUCGAUCUCGGCUCACUGCAACCUCCACCGCCAGGGUCCAAGUGAUCCUCCUGCCUCAGCCUCCCGAGUAGCUGGGAUUACAGGCACAUGCCACCACACCCGGCUAAUUUUUUUUUUUUGAGAUGGAGUUUCACUCUUGUUGCCCAGGCUGGAGUGCAAUGACACGAUCUCGGCUCACUGCAAUUUCCACCCCACCGGGUUCAAGCAAUUCUUCUGCCUCAGCCUCCCGAGUAGCUGGAAUUACAGGUGCAUGCCAAUAUGCCCAGCUGAUUUUUGUAUUUUAAUAGAGAUGGGGGUUUUGCCACGUUGGCCAGGCUGGUCUCGAACUCCUGACCUCAGGUGAUCCACCCGCCUCAGCUUCCCAAAGUGCCAGGAUUACAGGCGUGAGCCAUUGCACCCAGCUGAUUUUUGUCUUUUUAAUAGAGACGGGGUUUCGCCAUGUUGGCUAGGCUGGUCUCAAGCUCCUGACUUAAGGUGAUCCACCCACCUCAGUCUCCCAAAGUGCUGGGAUUACAGGUGUAAGCCACCGCCCUGGGCCAAGAUUUGGAUUUUUAGCCUACCUACAACAACCCAGGAGGAGCUUCGACACAGCAGCUGCUAUGUUGAAAGGAACAGCAGGGGCCUUGGUGGCAGAGGUGGUGGCGGCGGUAGUUAAGGGCUUAUCUUUCUCACCAGCAGCCCCUGGGCUGCCUCCUCCCCUCCCUGCCCAUAUGUCUGGUCCCUGUGUCUAAGAUGCUGCUUCUCAUACCCUCUGCCCAACUGGCUCAGGCCUGGCCCAUGGUUAGCUGCUGGGCCACUCUCCUGGCUCUAGGCUAGCCUCCAAGAGUCAGGUAGCUGCCGGGACAUUUCAAGCAGACACUCCCACGCACUCUCAGCUCUGAAACAUUCAGCAGCCAUUCCCCUGUCUUUAGAGUCAGAGCAGAUGCCCCCAACAGCCCCCUGGGCCAUGGCCUGGAAACACCUGCCCUACUUGGCUGCUAGGAGGCCUCUGCUCAUCUCACUCUCGGUCCCAGAGGCACCGGCUCGCUUUUCUGACCACCUGAUCUAGCCCUGUCCUGGAAGAGCCACCCCUCAUGCCUCUAGGUCACUACUGUGACUCGGGACACUCAGGUGCUGGCUCCCCCUUCCAGGACAAACUGAACCUUCCUGGGGCCAAGAAUAUCUCUUUGGUGCCAUCUUCUGUGCAGCUUUCACACAGGGCAGGGUCCCCAGCAGGUGCCCUGCAGAUGCCUGGGUGACUGGGCAGCUCUCUAUCUGCAAGGAAUGGCCAACUGGCAUCUCCUGCUGCCCCACAGGGUGUGUGAAGUGGAAUUCAUCUUCUCUGAGGGCUCCGAGGCAUCUGGACGGAGAGUGGAUGGGCUGGCAUUUGUGAAUGAGGACGUCGUGGGUGAGUGAGCCCAGCUCGCGGGACAGCCUGGCCUCCGGGCACACAGAUGGACUGCUUGUCCCUGGGCUGGGCUUCUGAGGAUCUCUAGUGGGAGGAGGUAUCUGGGAGGGGUCACCCUGCACAGCUCUCCCUUCUCCCCCACAGCCUCCAAGGGGAGCGGCCUGGGCACCAUCUGCCUGUGGAGCUGGAGGCAGACGUGGGGGAGCCGGGGCAGCCAGUCCACGGUGGCAGUGGUGGUCCUGGCGCGGCUGCAGUGGUCGCCCACCGAGUUGGCCUACUUCUCACUCAGCGCCUGCCCUGGUGAGCCUGCCCCCCCUGCCUGCCCCAUCCUGCACGGCCUCCGGGAGCUCUGCCCCUACUCAGACUCCACCUCUGUCCUGGCAGAUAAGGGGAUUGUGCUCUGUGGGGAUGAGGAGGGCAACGUGUGGCUCUACGAUGUCAGCAACAUCCUGAAGCAGCCACCCCCGCUGCCGACAGCCCCGCAGGCCCCCACGCAGGUACCGCCCGGCUCAUCCUGCCCAGGCUUGGGCUGGCAAGGCAUCAGGGGCCCUGCCUUUGGUCAGCAGGAGCCCAGCCCAGCCCUCCUCUCUCUCCCCACCAGAUCCUGAAGUGGCCCCAGCCCUGGGCUCUUGGCCAGGCGGUGACGAAGACCAUGGUGAACACGGUGGUGGCCAAUGCCUCCUUCACCUACCUCACCGCCCUGACGGACUCCAACAUCGUAGCCAUCUGGGGGAGGAUGUAGCCUCACGCCAUCGCAAAGGACCAGGGACACAGCUAACUUAUUCAGCUUUGGGCCGAUGCAGGUGGGGGGUCUUUCUAUCAGUGAAUAUUUUUAUUAAACUCUACUGUGGACAAG
rnacentral:sRNA from 1 species